rnacentral:rRNA from 1 species
AAUAGAUACCCAGGUAGUCCAUGCCGUAAACGUUGGGCACUAGGUGUGGGGCUCAUUCCACGAGUUCCGUGCCGCAGCAAACGCAUUAAGUGCCCCGCCUGGGGAGUACGGCCGCAAGGCUAAAACUCAAAGGGAAUUGACGGGGGCCCGCACAAGCGGCGGAGCAUGCGGAUUAAUUCGAUGCAACGCGAAGAACCUUACCAAGGCUUGACAUGCACGGGAAGCCACCAGAGAUGGUGGUCUCUUUGGACACUCGUGCACAGGUGGUGCAUGGUUGUCGUCAGCUCGUGUCGUGAGAUGUUGGGUUAAGUCCCGCAACGAGCGCAACCCUCGUCCCAUGUUGCCAGCGGGUUAUGCCGGGGACUCAUGGGAGACUGGCCGGGGUCAACGUCGGAGGAAGGUGGGAUGACGUCAAAUCAUCAUGCCCCUUAUGUCUUGGGCUUCACGCAUGCUACAAUGGCCGGUACAAGGGCUGCGAUACCGUAAGGUGGAGCGAAUCCCGAAAAAGCCGGUCUCAGUUCGGAUUGGGGU